GAAGAAUAUAUGAAAAUGACACAGCUGGAAGAUGUGGAAAGGUGGCUACAAAAUCUGUGCUGCAACAUGAAGAUUAUGUGUGAUGCAUGGAAAAAGAAGACAAAAUCAGAGUAGGAACAGAAAAAGCCACCUGAAAGCAAGUAGGAACAAAGCCAUUUCUUUAAUACUUCUGGCAGUUGAGGAAGUCAAGCUUCGACUCUCAAGCUGGAGUGUCCUGAGCACUUCACCAAACUGCUUUUUGACAUCAUUAGAGAACUGCACCUAAUUCUGCUGAGAGGGAAGGGUCUCUGGAGAGCAGAUUCCUGACCAGGGAUGAUUAAGGAGAGUGACAAGGAUACUCUGUCCACCGGCCCCCUGGAACUCCGUGCUGGCAAAGGCUGUAAUGCUGCUUCCUAGGUCAGCAGAACAGAGCCCCACCAUCCAUCAAGGAGGCCUGCUACAGACUCGGAUAUGGGGAGUGGGGGCAAGAGUGCAGAGAGGACUAGUUCAUGCGUUAAGGGGCUCCACGGAUGCGUUUCUGGGGUCCUUGUGCUCCACCAAUACUGGGUACAAAGUAGCAUGUGCACAUUUCUCCAGAACGGGAGUCCAGAGUUAUUAUGAAUUUUCAGUAAGAUUCUAAAUGGAGUCUACACAUCAUAGCUUUAGGAUCACACUAUGAGGUCAGGGGCCUAAACCUGGAGCUGGGACUGAUCCAGGGGCUCAUCUCCACCUGCUUAAUGGGAGAAGAAAGAGAUCUCAUCAGCAGACAAGUGUUUCUCCUUCCAUUCCGCAAAGCUGGCUGCCAUUACACUGUCUGAAAUUAGGGAUCUGGACUUCUCGGGAAGAGGGCUCUUUCAUAGUUGUUGAAGUUUAGGGAGGUAAUGAUAGUUAUUUCAUUCCCUUUCUUUUCGGUUCCAAGUACCCUACUCCUCUGGUAUUUUGCUCUGUCGUUCAGUUGAAAUCACGUUAGUGUAUUACAGGCUGAUCCAGCUGAGCACAUUCUGCAGAGAAAUGACAAGGAGCCUGGUGGUGGUAAAAAGCUCUCCCUAACGCCAGGUAGCAGCAUGGUGCAUUAGUGCUUCUUGAAGGACAGCUAGAGACCUGCUGUCAGUUUCUAAGUGCUGUGUCACCAUGGUUCCAAGGAAAAUUGUUUGUGUUAAUUAUCACCAAGGAGGGGCUACCUGGGCAGAGAGCUUCUGGUCCAUAAAGUGGCCUGGGAAGCUGGCUGGGUAAACUGAGAUGUUCUGACCCUUCUGCUAAUAAGCUUUUGAAGCCAUUCCUCUUGAAUGGAAGCUCCACAUUUCCACGGGGCUCAAGGCCACUUGGAGCUAACCACUCUACAGGAGUAACGAUUUCUAAGUUGUAAUGCUACUGUUAAAAAGUUUGUGAGCAAAACUUGCCAUGUGCAUAUGAUCAGAGGGAAGCCCUUUUGCAUUCCAACCUGUGUGAUCAUUUGAAAAUCUCUGUUUCCAUCAGGCCCUUGUGCUGAUGGCUGCUAUAGGGAUGCAGGGUUACUCACAGCCAGUGGGCAGUGUGAAACUCAAUAGUGGGCAAACAUCUAGUGUUCUGUAAUGUUCUAAUUAUCUUGUUGACUCUGAAUGUCUGGAUUCUGGGUUCUGACUCUCCUCCCCUCUAGCCCCCAGCAAAGAUGCUGAUGAACAUCUUGUGGGAGAAAAAGGAAAGGCCCUACUAUGCUUGAGUUAGAUAGAUGAAACUUUCUCCCUCCAAAUUUAUGACUCUCUUAGAUUUUUAACAGUGGAACUAUUAGGUCAAAUAAAGUGAGUUAUUUUGAGGCUUUUGAGAGCUAGGUUGGUUCCAAAGUACUGCGUCAGUUAUGGAAUUUAUUUCUGGUUAUAUGUUCUCCUUCGAGAAUUGUCUUUUAGGUAUUUUUUUCAUUUACCAUACCAGUUUUAGU